UACGAAGGGUGCAAGCGUUACUCGGAAUUACUGGGCGUAAAGCGUGCGUAGGCGGUUUGUUAAGUCCGUUGUGAAAGCCCUGGGCUCAACCUGGGAAUUGCAGUGGAUACUGGCGAGCUAGAGUGCGGUAGAGGAUGGUGGAAUUCCCGGUGUAGCGGUGAAAUGCGCAGAUAUCGGGAAGAACACCCGUGGCGAAGGCGGCUCUCUGGGACGGUACUGACGCUGAGACGCGAAAGCGUGGGGAGCGAACAGG
rnacentral:rRNA from 1 species